rnacentral:rRNA from 1 species
AUGGUUCGUCCAGACAGACUGUAUGCAAACGGUCUUGAUGACGCCCCCGGAAAGCUGCUUGAUUUUCUGUUGCACUUAGAGUACACUCGUAGAACUAAAUCAUUCUUCUUUGGUGGCUGGUUCGGCAAUGGUGUAGGAGCCUCUGCUGUUCUUAGAGCCAUAGCUGAACUCCUGAAAUCCGGAAGAAGUGAUCCUGACACGAGGGAACAAUUUGGAAAAAUUAUCCAUGUAGACUGCUCUCUAUGGAAAAAUAGAAGAGCUAUGCAGAGGGCAAUCGCGGAGGAGUUAAAACUUGGACAUUUAAUGCCCAUCUUUGAUAAGCAGGAUGAGGAUGAUGAUUUUAGAGGAAAAGAUGUUCGCUCUAGAGUAGAGAUACCAAGCAUUGCAAGUGAGAUCAAUGCGUCUCUUGGAAACGGAAGAUUUCUAAUGAUUGUUCAUUAUGGGGGAGAAGAAGACAUUGAUCUGGUAGAGUGUGGCAUUCCAAAUCCUGAAUUUGGACCAUAUGCUUUUGGAAAGCUGUUAUGGAGCGGCCAUGGAAGAUUUCAGCUCCCAGACAGAAAGGGGAAUUUAAAGUCCAGUCUUGAUUGUUUUCAAAAGAUUGAUUUAUAUCCUCGUAAUGUUGGUUCCAGUGAACUACUGCAUCAUUUAUUUCACAAAGAAGCAGACGAAGUGAUUGAUUACACCGGCAUGGAUGAUGUCAGCCCAACAAUAGCUUUGGAUUGCUUUUUGUACUCAAUGUUCCUGAGAUAUCGACAAUGGAGGCGUAUCAUUGUUGAGUAUGAUUGGGAAACUCAUGCUUGCAACUACUGGAUAUGUGAUGGCAUCCUUCAAGGGGACAGAGCCUAUGAGGUUGGCAGUGCAUUGUAUGGAGUGAUACAGAUGGUGCGCUAUCUAACAAUACAUAUGCAGAUGUAUUUGUCCGAGCACAGAAAACAAUAUGAAAGAUGGGUUUCAAUCACCUCCAGCAAACUAGGAGCACAAAAUAUCUCAGCUGUUCCUGCUAAAGCAUCAUCCUAUUUCCUCACAUGUGAGAGAGAUGGUCAGCUAGAACUAGCAAAUGAUCUGUUUCAACUGGCCAGCAACCUCCGCGUGCUAAAACUUUGCAGGUGCAACUUUGAUUUUGCAUCCCCUCCUUUCCGAUGCUGCCACAGCCUAAGAUUCCUUUGGCUUGAUCAUUGCACAAACUUAGGGAAGGAGCAAGGAGGAGGGCUAUGUUUACCGAACCUAUUGGUUCUUGACAUACGCUUCACAGAUUUUGUCUUGUUGGCAGAGAUGAUAGAGAUGAUGACCAAUCUCAUGGAGGUAAAUACCAAGGGUGUCUCAUGGAGGACCAUAAGUCAUGCAUGGAAAAAGCUACAGAAUCUUCACAAGCUUCGGGUAACUGAAUCCUCGGACGUGAUCACAGUGGACACUUGUUGUUCCAUAGAUAUGAUGAAUCUGGAGCUCCUUGACUUGUCGGGUAACAUUCAUAUGGAAUCCUUGCCUGCAAUGUCAUCAGCGGCAAAUUUGAAGAUGCUUGUUCUUGAUGGUUGUUCUAGCUUGGAGCAUGUUGCACUCGAGGGAGCCCCUCCACUGCUUGAGAGUUUUAGCUUCGAUGGUUAUGGCCCGGCAGAGAAGUGGACACAUCCUAUACAGCUACCAAAAGAGAAACUACGGCCCAAGUCUCGCUCUGCUUUAGUUCAAGAAGCCCAGGUGAGAAGGAUCUCGCUAAAGGGAUGUGCUCGAUUGCACAACAUGUUCUUGCGUGCAUUGCCCAAUCUUGAGGAGAUGGACCUCUCUGGCACAGCCGUUAAAUCACUUGACCUCAGUGCAAUGGAUAUCCCGCAGCUCAAGAAGAUAUUCCUUGUGGGCUGUGAGCAACUCCGUAGCCUAGCCUGGAAUAAAAGAAACCGUUCAUUGGGAGUUCUGCAUGUAGACACUCGGGGGAAGGUUGCAUCAGCUAUUUACUCUGGAGAACAGAUGCCCUCUGCCUAUGAGGUAGUUAUGGCUUUUUCAGAUGGAAGGUUCAUUUGUUCCACCAUAAAUGGACUCUAUCGGAUUAUUCCGAUUAACACCAAGGUGUACCUCCAUAUCUCUUCUACGCACCAAAGCCAAGUAAAUGUCACCAGAGGUAUCAAGGAGAUUGGGCCUAGCCCAGAGGGUUUGGUUGCAACGGGGACCUUCUUACCAUACAACGAUAUUGUCAUUAACAAGGAUAUUGUAACUUGCUCGGCCUUGCUGUGGGACCACCGACAACUUUAUCCUUUGGGUGUGCAUAUCGAGAUUGGUGAAGGAAGCCACCAUUUAGACAAUAUGAAUGACAACGAAGCUUUCAUUGGUUUCAUGGAGCAUAAAGUUAAAUCAUUGCAUGUGCAUGACAAUAUCUCAGUCACAACUCUCCUCCCAGGGGCACGCAGAUGUUGGGCCCGUCUAGAAUGGAGUCAUGUUGAGAGGUGUCCCAAGCUGCAUACUGUAUUCCCUAAUUGGGGUGGAUACAGGAGCUUUCAGUCAAUAAAGAUAUUUUCUGCAUCUGAUCUCCCGAUGGCCUAUUGCAUCUGGGGCACAUGCACUGAGUAUCACGCAGUUCAAUUUGAAGUGCUACAGCACAUAUACUUGCACAACUGCCCUAGGCUGGAGACCGUGCUUCCCAUUUCCUCCACAUUUCCAAACUUGGAGACCAUUCAGAUUGCAUAUUGUGGUAACCUCCAAUGUAUUUUCCCACUGAACGACAAGUGCCCUCAAGAUAUAGCAUCUGGUGUCACAUUCAGUAAGCUAAAGCACAUCAAGCUAUACCAUCUUCACAAGCUAGAGCAGAUAUGCGAGGCCAGGUUAACCGCCCCGGCGUUGGAGACCAUCAGCCUCAGGGACUGUUGGGCCCUAAGACGCCUACCGGCCGUGUCAUGCCAAGGUCCCAAGCCAGUGGUGGACUGCGAAAGGAGGAGGUCGGCCUACAUGGACCAUCCAUCAGUCUAUUAA